UAAGUAGAUAGUGAAUCUGGAGGCUCAACCUCACAGGCUAUUAUCUAAACUGGCAAACUCGAGAAUGGUAGAGGUAACUGGAAUUUCUUGUGUAGGAGUGAAUCCGUGGAUAUAAGAAGGACACCAAUGGCGUAGGCAGGUUACUGGACCAUUUCUGACACUGAGGCACGAAAGCGUGGGGAGCGAACCGGAUUAGAUACCCGGGUAGUCCACGCCGUAAACGAUGGAUGCUA
rnacentral:rRNA from 1 species